ensembl:snoRNA
GCUAUAAUGUGUGUAGCUUUCAUCUGUGUCUGAUGGCAGUGUCUGUCUGUGCUUUGUAUCCAGAUCUUGCUAUUCCCAUAAACACAUAGCCAAAGAGUAAGCUGGAAUCCUAGUACAAUAUCAUUUUAUUUGAAU